GGUUGGGAAACACCACUACUCAAGGUCCAUGGUGGGGAAACACCACUACUCAAGGUCCAUGGUGGGGAAAUAACUCUACUCAAGGUCCAUGGUGGGGAAACAACUCAACCGAAGGUCCAUGGUGGGGCAAUACUACUACUCAAGG
rnacentral:misc_RNA from 1 species